UACGAAGGGGGCUAGCGUUGUCCGGAUUUACUGGGCGUAAAGAGCGCGUAGGCGGCUCGUUAAGUGUGAAGUGAAAUCUCUAGGGCUCAACCCAGAAACUGCUUUACAUACUGGCGAGCUGGAGUGAUGAAGAGGUUUGUGGAAUUCCUGGUGUAGCGGUGAAAUGCGUUGAUAUCAGGAGGAACACCCAUGGCGAAGGC
rnacentral:rRNA from 1 species